GCACUACAAGGCGUGAAGCUUGCGGUUCAAUUGGAGUCAACGCCGGAAACCUUACCGGGGGCGACAGCAGGUUGAAAGCCAGAUUGAAGGUCUUGCUGGACAAGCUGAGAGGAGGUGCAUGGCCGUCGCCAGUUCGUGCCGUGAGGAGUCCUGUUAAGUCAGGCAACGAUCGAGACCCGCGCCCCUAGUUGCUACCGGAUACCGGUUGGAAUCCGGGCACUAUAGGGGGACCGCCAUCGACAAGAUGGAGGAAGGAGCGGGCUACGGCAGGUCAGUAUGCCCCAGAUCUCCCGGGCCACACGCGAGCUGCAAUGGCGGGGACAGAGGGUUCCCACCCUGAAAGGGGGAGGUAAUCCCUAAACCCCGUCGUAGUUGGGAUCGAGGGCUGCAACCCGCCCUUGUGAACAUGGAAUGCCUAGUAACCGCGUGUCAUUAUCGCGCGGUGAAUACGUCCCUGCUCCUUGCACACACCGCCCGUCGUUCCAGCCGAGUGGGGCUUGGAUGAGGCUCGGUCUUUUUGGCUGUGUCGAAUCUAGGUUCCGCGAGGGGGGAA
rnacentral:rRNA from 1 species